AGAAACACCUGUUCUCGUACGAUCACCGAAGUUAAGCAGCGUCGAGCCUGGUCGGUUCUUAGAUGGGUGACCACUUGGGAAUACCAGGUGCUGUAA